UCAACCCUCCAUCAUUCCUAACUGGUUUGGUAAAGUAAACAUUUAUUUUGACUGCUGUACAAAAGUGUCAAAGGCCCGCAUUUCAGAAGCUGUCAAGGCCUGCUAUGAACAGAAGGAACACUCAGUCAACAACUGUACAAUACAUGCAUACAUUUUCAAGACUGAAAGUGACCAUUGCCACUGUGUGGACCCAAGUGCCAGCUGGCUCCAAGAAAGACUCAAUAAGUUAGAAGAAAAAGGAAUAUUUUGCAAAAUCAUGUGAAAGGCCCUCAACAGCUGAAAAGAAGAUGAUGCACCGUGACCCUCUACGCAGAUAUCUAACUAUUUCUGUUUUAUUUAGAUGCAAUGCUUCAUUUCUGCUGUUUUUAAAUAAAUUAAAUGAUAUUAGGAUUGCUUUUACAAGAAUCUUUAUCAUCUUCUAAACAAAUAAAGAUUAUUUGGAAAAA